UGGGGAAUAUUGGACAAUGGGCGAAAGCCUGAUCCAGCCAUGCCGCGUGUGUGAAGAAGGUCUUCGGAUUGUAAAGCACUUUAAGUUGGGAGGAAGGGCAGUAAGCGAAUACCUUGCUGUUUUGACGCUACCGACAGAAUAAGCACCGGCUAACUCUGUGCCAGCAGCCGCGGUAAUACAGAGGGUGCAAGCGUUAAUCGGAAUUACUGGGCGUAAAGCGCGCGUAGGUGGUUCGUUAAGUUGAAUGUGAAAGCCCCGGGAUCAACCUGGGAACUGCAUCCAAAACUGGCGAGCUAGAGUAGGGCAGAGGGUGGUGGAAUUUCCUGUGUAGCGGAGAAAUGCGUAGAUAUAGGAAGGAACACCAGUGGCGAAGGCGGCCACCUGGGCUCAUACUGACACUGAGGUGCGAAAGCGUGGGGAGCAAACAGG
rnacentral:rRNA from 1 species